CACCGAGAGGGGAAACACCCUGACUCAGCUGAGAAACUGUUUCAUGGCGACACCGGUAUUUCCAUGACUUGUGGGCAAAUCUGACCCUUCACCUUCAGUCUCUAAGAACUGCCCUUCACUUGGAGUUUGAUGCAUUUCAACAUCAUAUGCAACGUUUUGUCUACCUGCCACAACAGUCCCAGAAGGGUGAGCUGCGCCUCUCGUGCUGGGUAGAAACGUCUGGAGCGGAGCCACAGCCUCCCAAACACUCCUGUGAUCAGCAGCAAGACGACCAGCAGCCCCCCGAGGACAAAGGUCUCCACGGGAGGGACUCCGCCUGCAUCUGCAUAGAAAAGGACUCAGGGUGAUUUACCAUGAAAACUUUCACAAAGAUGUCAUCAUCCAGCGUCAGUGACGGCACAGUGGUCCAUCUGUCCUCAAAGGCUUCAUCUUUGUACAGUGACAUCGACACCGAAAAGUUCCCAUC